rnacentral:rRNA from 1 species
AAGCGUGCGCAGGCGGUUAUAUAAGACAGAUGUGAAAUCCCCGGGCUCAACCUGGGAACUGCAUUUGUGACUGUAUAGCUGGAGUGCGGCAGAGGGGGAUGGAAUUCCGCGUGUAGCAGUGAAAUGCGUAGAUAUGCGGAGGAACACCGAUGGCGAAGGCAAUCCCCCUGGGCCUGCACUGACGCUCAUGCACGAAAGCGUGGGGAGCAAACAGGAUUAGAUACCCCUGU